UACGGAGGGGGCUAGCGUUGUUCGGAAUUACUGGGCGUAAAGCGCGUGUAGGCGGUCUGUUAAGUCUCGUGUGAAAGCCCCGGGCUCAACCCGGGAAGUGCGCGAGAUACUGGCGGACUGGAGUGGCGGAGAGGAUGGCGGAAUACCCGGUGUAGAGGUGAAAUUCGUAGAUAUUCGGAAGAACACCAGUGGCGAAGGCGACUCACUGGACAUGUAUUGACGCUGAGGUACGAAAGCGUGGGGAGCAAACAGG
rnacentral:rRNA from 1 species